ACAGUGCAGCCUCCAGCCAGAAGGAUGGGGUGGCUCCCACUCCUGCUGCUUCUGACUCAAUGCUUAGGGGUCCCUGGGCAGCGCUCGCCAUUGAAUGACUUCCAAGUGCUCCGGGGCACAGAGCUACAGCACCUGCUACAUGCGGUGGUGCCCGGGCCUUGGCAGGAGGAUGUGGCAGAUGCUGAAGAGUGUGCUGGUCGCUGUGGGCCCUUAAUGGACUGCCGGGCCUUCCACUACAACGUGAGCAGCCAUGGUUGCCAACUGCUGCCAUGGACUCAACACUCGCCCCACACGAGGCUGCGGCGUUCUGGGCGCUGUGACCUCUUCCAGAAGAAAGGUACACGCCCACUCUCCGGAAUGGCCUGGAAGAGAACUUCUGCCGUAACCCUGAUGGCGACCCCGGAGGUCCUUGGUGCUACACAACAGACCCUGCUGUGCGCUUCCAGAGCUGCGGCAUCAAAUCCUGCCGGGAGGCCGCGUGUGUCUGGUGCAAUGGCGAGGAAUACCGCGGCGCGGUAGACCGCACGGAGUCAGGGCGCGAGUGCCAGCGCUGGGAUCUUCAGCACCCGCACCAGCACCCCUUCGAGCCGGGUUCCUCGACCAAGGUCUGGACGACAACUAUUGCCGGAAUCCUGACGGCUCCGAGCGGCCAUGGUGCUACACUACGGAUCCGCAGAUCGAGCGAGAGUUCUGUGACCUCCCCCGCUGCGGGUCCGAGGCACAGCCCCGCCAAGAGGCCACAACUGUCAGCUGCUUCCGCGGGAAGGGUGAGGGCUACCGGGGCACAGCCAAUACCACCACUGCGGGCGUACCUUGCCAGCGUUGGGACGCGCAAAUCCCGCAUCAGCACCGAUUUACGCCAGAAAAAUACGCGUGCAAGUGAGGUGGGGGGGGGGGGCGGGCGUUGGGACGUGCUGCUGCGGGUGAGACGGGAGGAAGGUAGUCACGGGCUCAAGGCUGGAGGCUGGCGGGCUAGGGCUGAGUGGAGCGCCUGCUUAGAGACCUUCGGGAGAACUUCUGCCGGAACCCCGACGGCUCAGAGGCGCCCUGGUGCUUCACACUGCGGCCCGGCAUGCGCGCGGCCUUUUGCUACCAGAUCCGGCGUUGUACAGACGACGUGCGGCCCCAGGGUGAGGCCCAAGCUUGGGGGCUACAGAGCCGGGCUGGAAGCCUGGAACCGGAGGGCCGGGGCGAGGUCUCGGCCUGAUGGCUGCCCGCACCCGCCACAGACUGCUACCACGGCGCAGGGGAGCAGUACCGCGGCACGGUCAGCAAGACCCGCAAGGGUGUCCAGUGCCAGCGCUGGU
rnacentral:lncRNA from 1 species